rnacentral:rRNA from 1 species
AGAAAUCUCACCAGGCCCGGACACUGGAAGGAUUGACAGAUUGAUAGCUCUUCCUUGAUUCGGUGGGUGGUGGUGCAUGGCCGUUCUUAGUUGGUGGAGCGAUCUGUCUGGUUAAUUCCGAUAACGAACGAGACCCCAACCUGCUAACUAGCCCUCGGGUCCUGCUUCUGUUGGGCCCGACGGAAUGAUUCGCUUCUUAGAGGGACUCGCGGCGCCUAGCCGCACGAAGGGGGGCGAUAA